rnacentral:lncRNA from 1 species
GGGGUAAGGGAGGAGUGAGCCUGGGUGCUGUGGGGGGAGGGGGUUGUUCAAGGGAUGGGGACGAUCAGGGUCUCUGGGAAGUGCUGACGUGUGCGCGUGUGCGGUGUGUUGCUUGUGGGUGCGUGUGUGGUGUGUGCAUGUGUGUGCGCGCGCGUGUGUGCGGGGUGUGCCGUGAGCGUGUGCCCGCGGUUCGGGGGAUGAGUAGGGGCGCUGACUUUUAGGACCAGCCAUUUGAGUCAAGCUGGAGACGACGUCUUAGAACCUAGGAUGAGUCUCGUUUGGUUUUAGUCUGCAAAGCUCGUCUGCAUCAGACAGGAAUUUUCCCCAGACGCGGGUGCACGUGAAUUAAUUCAUCAGAAGGCGGUUCACGGCCUGAGUGAGGGGGACGAGGGCGGCGAAUUCCUCCGCCUCAUUCCUACCCUGACGAUUCGAGCCUUAGCAAGUUCUGGCCUGUGGAGCCGUCAUCCAGAGCGCACAGCUUCAUGCCCUUGAAGGGCGCAGUGUGUCCCGUGGUGCCCGGUGGGCCCGGACAGAGACCCCAGAGGCUCUGUCUGAAGGAAGCUGCACCCACAGACUCCAUCCAGGCAGCGCGGGCGCGGUCCUGUCGCCUACCUUUCUCGGAAGCCAUCUGCCCAUGUGAAUCUAUGUGAAGGCCCUUCAUGCGCUCCUGGACAUCUGCGUGGGAUUUACUUCAACUGCUAUCGCUGCGAGGAGGACGAGCAUGUUUCACUGUAUUUUUAGCAGAGAGUGCAGAUUUUAGAACCUCGCGAACGGUCCUGUAUCUCCUGCACGAUGACUCUCCAGAACAGGAAUAGUGACCCUUCCUUUGCAUUUAUGGUGCAUAGGUUUUCAAAGGACAGUGUGUAAAUCAGCUUGUGUAAUAAUUGUGGCACCCACGCGCGCAAGCAGACUUACCAUGAGCUGACUUCCACUGAUUAUUUCAGUUUCCAGGGAAACGAGGUUUGCAGCCCCCUCCAGUGAGGGCGGAGCGGCCUCUCCAUUCCCAAUGCAGCAAGGCUGCUGCAGCCACGAUGAUUAGGCUUUGGAGGAGGAAGUGAACGGAUGGGGCCUCAUCCUCCUGCCUCCCUAAAGGGUGAGGGUGGAAGGAUGGGGCUGUGCCCUCUUAGGGCAGGGAAAAACAGCUUGGAGGGGUUUCUGCCAUCAGAGAUCCCAUAGGAGGCAGGUCAGUCCUGCAGAAUUUCUCCCCAGUCUGGCCUCCAGCCUCCCUGGCCCCUUUCUAGAGGCCUCCAUCCCACUGGCGGCUUGCUCCUGCCACCGGGCCUCUGCACAGUCACCUCCUGCAGCCUGGGGUGUGUCGCCUCUCCACGUCCUCACCGGCGUCUGCCUUUGCAUUUCCCAGAUGCUCGCUUCACCCCACUGAGAUGUAACUCAGUUUUGUGGGAUCCCACUGCCCUCCAGGUGCCGCUCCGAGUGCUCUACACAGAUUUUCAUUCAGUCCUUGCGGCACACGAAGGGAUGGCCUCUGCACUUCAGCUGGUUUCUGACACCUAAAAACAGAAGUGGAAAAGGGAGCAGACGCAGCCACAUUUUGAAAGCUGAUUCGGUUGCUUUCUGGCAGAAUCCCUGCCCCCAAGCACCUGCCAGGCCCACCCAUGAAGCCUCUUCCCACGCCUUAACUCUGCCCCAUGAGGGGACCUCAAGCAGUUGCAGUCUAGUCAGGUGAUUUGCAGAGCUCAGGGCUCAGGGAGGGGCACCCACCUCAGAAAAAAGCGCCGUGCUCAUGAGAAAUGACUUCUACAGGUUGUUGGGGAAAGAGGAGUUAUUUUAAAGAUCACAGAGCCCGUGAUGUGCCAGGCGCACCCACACAGGGCAUAUAGUCCCCGCAGCUGCCUCUGUGCUGGGGCCACGUCACCGUCCUGUCCUAAAGACAAGCAAUGUGAAGCCCAGAGAUGGUAUCUUAAAACAAUCGUGUGGUUUUUUUCUGAUUACAACAGCAAUUGUGUUAAUCCAACAAUAUUUUUCCUAUCAACUGUAAACCUUAUUUUAAUAUUUACAUAUUUAUUAGCAUUUAAAAUUCAAUCUCCUAGAAUAUUGACUUCAAUUAGUUUGGCUGAUUCUAAUUUUUUUUUUCUAAUUUGUUUAUCACUUAACUUUUUAAGUACUUUUUUUUUUUAGACAGAGUCUUGCUCUGUCACCCAGGCUGGAGUGCAGUGGUGCAAUCUCGGCUCACUGCAACCUCUGCCUCCUGGGCUCAAGCGAUUCUCCUGCCUCAACCUCCCGAGUAGCUGGGACUACAGGCUCACACCACCAUGCCCAGCUAAUUUUUAUAUUUUUAGUAGAGAUGGGGUUUCACCAUGUUGUCCAGGCUGGUCUCGAACUCCUGACCUCAAGUGAUCCCCCACCUCAGCCUCCCAAAGUGCUGGGAUUACAGGUGUGAGCCACCGUGCCUGGCCUGUUUUUAGUACUUUUAUCCUUUAUCUUUUUAACUACGUAAGUACUCAACAUUUUAAAUUAUUAAUCUUCACCAUGUUAUUUCCAAGAACAAUCACGAUUGAUCUUUCAGUUACACAGCCACGGUGUGUGCCUCUCUGUGUAACUCUGCACAGCUGGUGAUUUACUGAAAGAACUUACUCUCAUAAAACCACAGCCAGCGAGUUCUCAGAGACACAAUAAUGCACCUUAAUUAUGAGUUUAAAAGCUCUUGUCUUGUGAAAUGUAAUCGAUCCACAGAAAAAUCAUAAAGUAUACAUGUAAUAGCUUAAUGACUUAUAAAUGAAGAUCUGUAUACUUCCCACUCGAAAAACGGAAUAUUGCAGGAUUUGAGUACACAACCCGUACCUUUCCAACGACAGCCUCCCUCCCACCAGAGCUUCUGCUGAGUUCACUUGAAAUCACUUCCUUGCAUUUAUUUAUACUUUUAUUACCUUGAGGUGCAUCCCUAACCAUUCUAGUUCGAUUUUGCCUGGUGUUUGAACUUUAUAUUAAUGGAAUCAUAGGACAUAAUUCUUAUAUCUCUGGUUUCUUUCAUUCAACUUUGUGUCUGCGAAAUGUAUCCAUGUUGCAUGCAACGGGGGCUCAUUCAUCGCUGGUUACUGAUUCACUGCAUGAGUAUGACACAGUUUAUUAACCAUUUCACUGCUGAUGAACAUUUGAUCAUUUCUAGUUUGGGAAUAUUAUUAAUAAUUUUUGAACCUUCUUAUUUGUGUGCCCUGAUGUACAUGGACAUGCAUUUUAGGGGUGUAUACUUAGGGAAAUUGCCGGUUCAUGAGUAACACCUAUCUUCAGGUAUUACUUUUUGUGCCCUUUUAUGCUGAACUACAAUUUACGUGCAAUACCAAUCAUUCAUAUUAAGUGUACAACUCAGUGAGUUUAGACAACUGGACACCUUGUUGUGAGUCACCACCACCGAGAUGAUCCAGCACUGUCCCAACUCCCCCCAAGUUCUCCUUUGCAGGCACCCUCUCCCUCCAUUCUGGGCACAGGCAACCAUGAACCACUAUCUGUCACCGUAGCUUUAGUAUAAAAUUUCACAUACAUGGACUCAGGGAGCAUAGAGUCUUUCCUGUCUGGCUUCUUUCCGCUGGCAAAAUGCUUGGAGACUUUUCCACGUUGCUGCAUGAAUCAAUGGAUCAUUUGUUUUCGUGGCUGAGCAGAAUUCCACCAACAUUUGUUUACUCAUCCAUGAAAUGAUGGACAUUUGGUGUUUUUCCAUUGAGAUUGUUAUGAAUAAUGCUGCUAUUGUCAUUCAAGGACAAGUCUUCUGUGAACAUCUGUUUUCACUUCUCUUGGGUACAUCCUUAGAAGUGGUAUUGCUGGACUGUAUCAAAAGUUAAUAUUUAACUUUCAGGAAACUUACAAACUGUUUUCCAGAGUGGCUGUACCAUUUUGCAUUCCCAGACCGAAGUGUGAAAGCUCCAGAUGCCCCACGCCCUCACCAGCCCACGGUGUUGUCAGCCUUAAUAGUGCUGACCAUUCUGCCUGUUAAUAUGAUGAAUUACACUGAUUCAGUUUCAAAUGUCCAACCAAGCUUGCACUCCAGAGAUGAAGCCCACUUGAUCACAUGGAUUAUUCUUUUAAUAUAUGAUGGAUACGACUUGGCUGUUCUUUUGUUGAGGAUUUUUGUGUUUAUGUUAAUGAGGAUAUUAUUUGUAGUUUUCUUUUCUUGUAAUGUUUUUGUCUUUGUUCAGUGUCAGAGUAAUGCCAACUUCAUAAAGUGAGCUGGGAAGUA